UACGUAGGGUGCAAGCGUUGUCCGGAAUUAUUGGGCGUAAAGAGCUCGUAGGCGGUCUGUCGCGUCUGCUGUGAAAACCUGGGGCUUAACCCCGGGCCUGCAGUGGGUACGGGCAGACUAGAGUGCGGUAGGGGAGACUGGAAUUCCUGGCGUAGCGGUGAAAUGCGCAGAUAUCAGGAGGAACACCGAUGGCGAAGGCAGGUCACUGGGCCGCAACUGACGCUGAGGAGCGAAAGCAUGGGGAGCGAACAGG
rnacentral:rRNA from 1 species